rnacentral:rRNA from 1 species
AUACGAAAGGUGCAAGCGUUGUUCGGAUUUACCGGGCGUAAAGAGAGUGUAGGUUGUUUAUUAAGUCGGAUGUGAAAUCCCGGGGCUCAACCUCGGAACUGCAUUCGAUACUGGUAGACUAGAGUUCGGGAGGGGUAAGCGGAAUUCCGUGUGUAGCAGUGAAGUGCGUAGAUAUACGGAGGAACACCUGAGGCGAAGGCGGCUUACUGGACCGAUACUGACACUGAGACUCGAAAGCGUGGGUAGCAAACAGGAUUAGAAACCCCGGUAGUCA